CCUACGGGAGGCAGCAGUGAGGAAUUUUGGGCAAUGGGCGAAAGCCUGACCCAGCGACGCCGCGUGGGCGAUGAAGGCCUUCGGGUCGUAAAGCCCUGUGAGUUGGGAAGAAGCCGCUCGGUGCCAAUACCACCUGGCGGUGACAGUACCAACAGAGGAAGCCCCGGCUAACUACGUGCCAGCAGCCGCGGUAAAACGUAGGGGGCAAGCGUUGUUCGGAAUUACUGGGCGUAAAGCGCGUGUAGGCGGCUUGGUAAGUCGGAAGUGAAAGCCCUCGGCUCAACCGGGGAACUGCUUUCGAAACUGCCAGGCUUGAAUGCGGGAGGGGAGAGCGGAAUUCCCGGUGUAGCGGUGAAAUGCGUAGAUAUCGGGAAGAACACCGGUGGCGAAGGCGGCUCUCUGGACCGUGAUUGACGCUGAGACGCGAAAGCGUGGGGAGCAAACAGGAUUAGAUCCCCCUGUAGU
rnacentral:rRNA from 1 species